CUUGCUUCUCUUGAGAGCGGCGGACGGGUGAGUAAUGCCUAGGAAUCUGCCUGGUAGUGGGGGAUAACGUUCGGAAACGGACGCUAAUACCGCAUACGUCCUACGGGAGAAAGCAGGGGACCUUCGGGCCUUGCGCUAUCAGAUGAGCCUAGGUCGGAUUAGCUAGUUGGUGGGGUAAUGGCUCACCAAGGCGACGAUCCGUAACUGGUCUGAGAGGAUGAUCAGUCACACUGGAACUGAGACACGGUCCAGACUCCUACGGGAGGCAGCAGUGGGGAAUAUUGGACAAUGGGCGAAAGCCUGAUCCAGCCAUGCCGCGUGUGUGAAGAAGGUCUUCGGAUUGUAAAGCACUUUAAGUUGGGAGGAAGGGUUGUAGAUUAAUACUCUGCAAUUUUGACGUUACCGACAGAAUAAGCACCGGCUAACUCUGUGCCAGCAGCCGCGGUAAUACAGAGGGUGCAAGCGUUAAUCGGAAUUACUGGGCGUAAAGCGCGCGUAGGUGGUUUGUUAAGUUGGAUGUGAAAUCCCCGGGCUCAACCUGGGAACUGCAUUCAAAACUGACUGACUAGAGUAUGGUAGAGGGUGGUGGAAUUUCCUGUGUAGCGGUGAAAUGCGUAGAUAUAGGAAGGAACACCAGUGGCGAAGGCGACCACCUGGACUAAUACUGACACUGAGGUGCGAAAGCGUGGGGGAGCAAACAGGAUUAGAUACCCUGGGUAGUCCACGCCGUAAACGAUGUCAACUAGCCGUUGGGAAGCCUUGAGCUUUU
rnacentral:rRNA from 1 species